GUAGAAAAUCUGUGGUUGCUUGGCAACCAGAGGGUGCCUAUUUGGAGAGUUCAGAGAAGCGCGCAAUGAGACUUUAGGAUGGAUGAAGGGCAGUGGGAGACACUGAGUUGACUGAAACGAUUCGGAACAUGGAGACAAUAUUCAAAUAACAUACAUCACUAUGCUUCAGUUUUGGGACUCUCAAGACCAUCCCAGCCUCCAUGCUAUCCGGAAAACUCACUUGAUGAAUUGGAGGCCAGACACAGAGAAACAUUUCCUGCCAUAUCAAUAAACAAAGGAUGUCACAGUCAUCAAGGAUUGCAGCCCUCCAACGGGAGCCAAGGAAACUCAGGGCUGAAAAGAAUACCUGCCAUCUAGCAGCCAUCAGGCUGCAGCCACGCCCUGUGGUGAGCCCUGAGGAAACUCAGGAUGUGUCAGGAUACCGGCCCCAGAUAGCUGAGGUGCAUAUCAAAGGAAUGAUUUCAGUGAGCCCAGACUCUUGCAUCCUCCCAUACAUAGAAAAGUACUAAAUUCCCUAACUUGAGAUAUGUUUUUCUUUAAUUGACAAUAACCUUUGACGUUCCUGACUACCUGUCCUUUGUUGCAAAACUCCUAUAUAUCCUGGCUUCUCCCCUCACCUCCUCAGAGCAGUUUCUCAGAGUUAUCUGUAACACUGUCUCUCGGGCUGCAGUUCUCAUUUUGCCCCAAAUAAAACUUUAUUCACAGCUCUCACAGUUGUGCAUAUAUGUUUUUUUAAGUCAACAGUUAUGGUGGCGACGAAGAAGGGACCCACAUUGGACUUCUCACCUUUGCCUGAACUCUACAAGGAACCGGAGACUUGGUACCAGCAGAGUCUGCUUGCACCCAUCCGCCUCCUCGGAGAGUCCAGACGAAUUUGGACAAUUCCACAUGAGAAAUAGGCACCAUGAAGAUAUAUGAAGCAGAUUGUGUGAGUUUCUGUGCCGUUAAGUGAUCCAUAUUUGUUGUUUUUUUAAAAUUGUUUUGCCACUUUGGUUAAAUGAAUAAGUAUUGUUUCACAGUGACCUAUGAUCCUGUUGUAUUUUAAAAACUUUUUGAUAUUUUUAACAAACUUCUCAAAAUCUAACUAAAUUUGUUUUGGAAAUUUAUAUGAAAUCCCUAACAUCUCAUAUGUCUUGAUAUACUGUCAUAAUUCUAGUUAUUCUAAAAUGCUAUAUGUCACAGAAACAUCCAAGUUUCCUACUAAUUGCAUUAUACUCAAAUCUUUAACCAUGCUAUUUUAAGUUUUGUCCUGAUGCUUUUACAAAAUGAAGAUUUUCAAGAAGACUCAUAAAAAGAACUUUUUAAACAAAGAUAAGUUUCUGAUGGCCUGAACUAUGUAACACUGAACUAUGUAACAAAUGACGGGAAACCUGAUUACUUUAUCCAAAUCAACAGGAAUCAAUUACAUGGGACUGAAUUAACUGAUGAAUAUGAUUUAUAACUUUAUUACUUUGGGAAAUAUACUAGCUUUAAUAUUUGUUUUUCAGAAAAACCUUUUCUCUUAUGCUAUGACCUACAAGUUGAUAAAGUAUACACUUGUAAAUAAAGAUAAAACAUUUAUCUUUUUCGUUCUACCUGAUCCUACCAGAAUUUGGCUUCUCCAGGUGGCUCUCCUAUGGACUUGAUGGUUUAUUGCAACUAGAUUAUAACUAGUUAUACUAAUUGUUUUAAUUUGUUCUUUGUUUCCAAAUUGUUUAUGAUUGUAUCUACCCUCUGCAUUAUGACUUUGUCAAUAUUACUAGCUGCAUUACUUACCCUGUCUAUUUUAUAAGAUCGUUGUCUCUUACAGCACUCAGUGAUAGUAACCAGGCUACUAGCCUACUGAAUUCUUAGGUCUCUAUGAUGAAAAAGCAGUGCUACAAAACCACAUGGUCCUUGACGUCCUUACCGCAUCUCAGGGAGGUACCUGUGCCACAAUUCAAACUGAAUGCUGUGUUUUCAUAUCUGGUGAAUCUUCUAAUAUAACACGUUUAAUUAACCAUAUGAAAAAUCAGAUUUUUUCCUUAAGUGACCCACUCCCAAGUCUUGAUGACCUCUUAGAAAAAUGGUUUGGCGUGGGAAGCUCUUGGCUUAAACAUUUACUUAUAACUCUAUUAAUGUUAUUAGCUAUAUUAUUUGUAUUUUGCCUGUUUUACAAGAUUAUUGUUUCUUGUAUUACUAAAUGUAUGACUGAGCCUCCAACAAAAAUAAUGAUGACUAGGCAACUUGAAGCAGUUGAUCAAAUAUACAGUUCUGUAUGUGAUCAACAAUUGUAAUAGUGCAACUCUAGAUAUGGGAAGAUGCAACUAGGGAAAACAUUUCCUGGAUCAGAUUAGAUUAGUAAAACAGAGGAUCCAGAGAAUCUUUAAUUAUCAACAGGGCCUAAUCCGAAAAUUAGUACCUGGAGUGGCAUAUCAACAGGAACUUUUGUCUGAUCUGGGAUGAGCCUCCCAGCACUGUGGGACAAAAUUGGCCAUGAAAUGUUUACCAAAUAUUGGUCGCAUUCCUGACCAAGAGGAGGAUAUCUGAGAAAUGAAAUAUUUUCUGCCAUAUCAAUAAACAAAAGAUGUCACAUUCAUCAACAAUUGCAGCCCUCCAACAUGAGCCUAGCCAAGGAAACUCAGGGCUGAAAAGAAUAACUGCCAUCUAGCAGCCAUGAGGCUGCAGCUGGUGAGCCCUGAGGAAACUCAGGAUGUGUCAGUAUACUGGCCCCAGAUGGCUGAGGUGCAUAUCACAGGAAUUAUUUCAGUGAGCCAAGACUCUUGCAUCUUCCCAUACAUAGAAAAGCGCUAAAUUCCUUAACUUGAGAUAUCUGGUUUUCUUUAACAAUAAUAUCUUGACGUUCCUGACUACCUGUCCUUUGUUGCAAAACUCCUAUAUAUCCUGGCUUCUCCCCUCACCUCCUCAGAACAGUUUCUCAGAGCUAUCUGAAAUGCUAUCCCCUGGGCUGCAGUCCUCAUUUUGCCCCCCCAAAAAACUUUACUCACAGCUCUCACAUUGUGCAUAUAUUCUUUUUAAGUCAACAAUCCCAUGAGUGUAUCAUUUUACACAGCCAGGCCAAAGGGACUUUGAAGAUAGAGUUAAAACUGUAAACUUUAAAAGAGGGAGAGUAUCCUGGAUUAUUCUGAUGGGCUCAGUAUAAUUACAUGAGCCCUUAGAAACAGAAAGAGGCAGAAGAGCUGUCAGAGAGAUGUAACCCCGGAAGAAGAGGCAACAGAGAGAGAGUCGAAGCAUGACAGGGACUUGACCUGUCAUUGCUAGCGUUGAUUAUGGAGGAAAUGGAUUAUGAAUCUAGUCAUCCAACAGCCUCCAGAAUCUGGGAAUGGCUCUCAGAUGACAACCAGCAAAGAAACAGUCCUAUAAAUGCAAGGAACUGAAUUCUGCCAACAACUUGAAUAAGCAAGAAAAUGUUUUCAUCUAGAGCCUCCAGAGAGGAACAGCCUGCUGACACCGUGAUUCUAACCUGUGUCAGAUUCGACCUACAACACUAUAAGAAAAUAAAUGUGUGUUGUGUUA